GACGAACGCUGGCGGCGUGCCUAAUACAUGCAAGUCGAACGCUUCUUUCCUCCCGAGUGCUUGCACUCAAUUGGAAAGAGGAGUGGCGGACGGGUGAGUAACACGUGGGUAACCUACCCAUCAGAGGGGGAUAACACUUGGAAACAGGUGCUAAUACCGCAUAACAGUUUAUGCCGCAUGGCAUAAGAGUGAAAGGCGCUUUCGGGUGUCGCUGAUGGAUGGACCCGCGGUGCAUUAGCUAGUUGGUGAGGUAACGGCUCACCAAGGCCACGAUGCAUAGCCGACCUGAGAGGGUGAUCGGCCACACUGGGACUGAGACACGGCCCAGACUCCUACGGGAGGCAGCAGUAGGGAAUCUUCGGCAAUGGACGAAAGUCUGACCGAGCAACGCCGCGUGAGUGAAGAAGGUUUUCGGAUCGUAAAACUCUGUUGUUAGAGAAGAACAAGGACGUUAGUAACUGAACGGCCCCUGACGGUAUCUAACCAGAAAGCCACGGCUAACUACGUG
rnacentral:rRNA from 1 species